GAUGAAGAACGCAGCGAAAUGCGAUAAGUAAUGUGAAUUGCAGAAUUCCGUGAAUCAUCGAAUCUUUGAACGCAUAUUGCGCCCGCCAGUAUUCUGGCGGGCAUGCCUGUUCGAGCGUCAUUUCAACCAUCAAGCCCCCGGCUUGUGUUGGGGACCUGCGGCUGCCGCAGGCCCUGAAAAGCAGUGGCGGGCUCGCUGUCACACCGAGCGUAGUAGCAUACAUCUCGCUCUGGGCGUGCUGCGGGUUCCGGCCGUUAAACCACCUUCAUAACCCAAGGUUGACCUCGGAUCAGGUAGGAAGACCCGCUGAACUUAAGCAUAUAAUAAGCGGAGGA
rnacentral:misc_RNA from 1 species